rnacentral:rRNA from 1 species
AGAGUUUGAUCAUGGCUCAGAGCGAACGCUGGCGGCAGGCCUAACACAUGCAAGUCGAGCGCCGUAGCAAUACGGAGCGGCAGACGGGAGAGUAACACGUGGGAACGUGCCCUUCAGUUCGGAACAACCCAGGGAAACUUGGGCUAAUACCGGAUACGUCCGUAAGGAGAAAGAUUUAUCGCUGAAGGAUCGGCCCGCGUCUGAUUAGCUAGUUGGUGAGGUAACGGCUCACCAAGGCGACGAUCAGUAGCUGGUCUGAGAGGAUGAUCAGCCUCACUGGGACUGAGACACGGCCCAGACUCCUACGGGAGGCAGCAGUGGGGAAUAUUGGACAAUGGGCGCAAGCCUGAUCCAGCCAUGCCGCGUGGAUGAUGAAGGCCCUAGGGUUGUAAAGUCCUUUCGGCGGGGAGGAUAAUGACGGUACCCGCAGAAGAAGCCCCGGCUAACUUCGUGCCAGCAGCCGCGGUAAUACGAAGGGGGCUAGCGUUGCUCGGAAUCACUGGGCGUAAAGCGCACGUAGGCGGCUUUUUAAGUCAGGGGUGAAAUCCUGGAGCUCAACUCCAGAACUGCCUUUGAUACUGAGAAGCUUGAGUCCGGGAGAGGUGAGUGGAACUGCGAGUGUAGAGGUGAAAUUCGUAGAUAUUCGCAAGAACACCAGUGGCGAAGGCGGCUCACUGGCCCGGUACUGACGCUGAGGUGCGAAAGCGUGGGGAGCAAACAGGAUUAGAUACCCUAGUAGUCC